rnacentral:tRNA from 1 species
CCCUCCGUGGCGCAAUUGGUUAGCGCGUUCGGCUGGUAACCCGAAAGUUGGUGGGUUCGAGUCCACCCGGGGGCG